rnacentral:rRNA from 1 species
GUUAGCUGUUCACCUGCCUAAAAAGCUGGUGAGUAAAGGGCCGGGUAAGACGGGUGCCAGCCGCCGCGGUAAUACCUGCGGCCCGAGUGGUGGUCGUUAUUAUGGAGCCUAAAGCGUCCGUAGCCGGUUCAGUAAAUCUCUGGGUAAAUCGGACAGCUCAACUGUCCGAAUUCCGGAAAGACUGCUGAACUUGGGACCGGGGGAGGUUGGAGGUACUCCUGGGGUAGGGGUGAAAUCCUGUAAUCCUAGGGGGACCACCAGUGGCGAAGGCGUCCAACCAAAACGGCUCCGACGGUAAGGGACGAAGCCCUGGGGCGCAAACGGGAUUAGAUACCCCGGUAGUCCAGGGUGUAAACGCUGCAGGCUUGGUGUUGGGGGUCCUACGAGGGCGCCCAGUGCCGGAGAGAAGUUGUUAAGCCUGCCGCUUGGGGAGUACGUCCGCAAGGAUGAAACUUAAAGGAAUUGGCGGGGGAGCACAGCAACGGGUGGAGCGUGCGGUUCAAUUGGAUUCAACGCCGUAAAACUCACCGGGAGCGACGGUUACAUGAAGGCCAGGCUGAUGACCUUGCCUGAUUUUCCGAGAGGUGGUGCAUGGCCGUCGUCAGUUCGUACCGUAAGGCGUUCUGUUAAGUCAGAUAACGAACGAGACCCCCAUCCUUAUUUGCCCUUAUUCCUUUCGAGGGAUAAGCACUAUAAGGAGACCGCUGGCGCUAAGUCAGAGGAGGGAGAGGUCAACGGUAGGUCAGUAUGCCCCGAAUCUCCCGGGCAACACGCGCGCUACAAAGGGCUGGACAAUGAGUUUCAACACCGAAAGGUGAAGGCAAUCUCGAAACCAGCUCAUAGUCCGGAUUGAGGGCUGUAAUUCGCCCUCAUGAAGCUGGAAUCCGUAGUAAUCGCGGGUCAACAUCCCGCGGUGAAUAUGCCCCUGCUCCUUGCACACACCGCCCGUCAAACCAUCCGAGUUGGGUCUAGAUGAGGGUGCCUCUACUUGGGGCGUCA